rnacentral:rRNA from 1 species
CCGGGAAUUUUGGGCAAUGGGCGAAAGCCUGACCCAGCAACGCCGCGUGAAGGAUGAAGUAUUUCGGUAUGUAAACUUCGUAAGAAUAGGAAGAAUAAAUGACGGUACUAUUUGUAAGGUCCGGCUAACUACGUGCCAGCAGCCGCGGUAAUACGUAGGGACCAAGCGUUGUUCGGAUUUACUGGGCGUAAAGGGCGCGUAGGCGGUGUGUCAAGUCAGUUGUGAAAUCUCCGAGCUUAACUCGGAACGGUCAACUGAUACUGUCACACUAGAGUACAGAAGGGGCAAUCGGAAUUCUUGGUGUAGCGGUGAAAUGCGUAGAUAUCAAGAGGAACACCUGAGGCGAAGGCGGGUUGCUGGGCUGAUACUGACGCUGAGGCGCGAAAGCUAGGGUAGCAAA